rnacentral:rRNA from 1 species
UACGAAGGGGGCUAGCGUUGCUCGGAAUCACUGGGCGUAAAGGGCGCGUAGGCGGGCUGUCAAGUCUGGGGGUGAAAUCCCCGCGGCUCAACCGUGGAACUGUCUCAGAUACUGACGGCCUCGAGGGAGGUAGGGGCGAGCGGAACUGUGAGUGGAGCGGUGAAAUGCGUUGAUAUUCACAGGAACUCCGGUGGCGAAGGCGGCUAGCGC